GACGAACGCUGGCGGCGUGCUUAACACAUGCAAGUCGAGCGGAGCGGCGAACGGGUGAGUAACGCGAGAGUAACUGCCCCCCUCUCUGGGAUAACAGUUGGAAACGGCUGCUAAUACUGGAUAGUGGGGGAUGACUCGCGUCCUAUUAGCUUGUUGGUGGGGUAGUGGCCUACCAACGCGACGACGGGUAGCCGGCCUGAGAGGGCGACCGGCCACGUUGGGCUGAGAUACGGCCCAAACUCCUGCGGAAGGCAGCAGUGGGGAAUAGUGCACAAUGGGCGAAAGCCUGAUGCAGCGACGCCGCGUGGGGGAUGAAGGCUUUCGGGUUGUAAUCCUCUUUCGCUAUCGAAAGGGUAGGUGGAGAAGAAGCGCCGGCUAACUACGUGCCAGCAGCCGCGGUAAUAC
rnacentral:rRNA from 1 species